GAUGCCAAGAUUUCCGAAUGGAGCAAUCUGUAAAGAGUCAUGUCUUUACACGAAAGAGGGAACCGGGUGAACUGAAACAUCUAAGUAAUCCGAGGAAAAGAAAGUAACAACGAUGCCCUAAGUAGCGGCGAGCGAACGGGGUAGAGCCUAAACCGUAUUCAUGUCAAGGAUGCAGCCGUUGUGGAUACGGGGUAGCGGGAAAGAGAGAGAAAGAACUGCAAGUUAUUUCGCAGACGUAAGCAAAGGAACAAGAAAGAUCUGGAAAGGUCUACCGUAGAAGGUGAAAGUCCUGUAUUGGUAGUUUUCUUGCGCUGUAUCUCUUCUCCCAAGUAAUGUGGAACACGAGGAAU
rnacentral:rRNA from 1 species